UCGCGUUCAUAUUGUUUAUAAGAAUAGUACUCCACGGCACUUAUAAGGAUUCUCCCCCCAUUCCAAUCGAUUCCCUCUCCCCAUUCUCAAUCCGGUGAGCGGCGAUGCGGCCGAGGGCAACACCCACCAGCGACGGAGCGGCAGUGCAACAUGCGGCAGAGGGGGAGGGCAGCGGCGCCGGGGCGGGUGGCCACCGGCGGCAGCGCGGGUGGGCAGCAUGCCGCAGAGGGCGAUGGCCGGCGGCGGCAGGAAGAUCUACAGGCGCGAUGCUACGGGCCGGUUAUGCCGGCCCGUAGACCUGGCGAGGACCACGAGAAGCGGUCGGAGCAUGCCCGGCUGCAACCCAGAGACAAGGAUGGCAAGUUCUGCAGCACUUCCCCCUCCUUGGGCGGAAGGGUGAAGCGCUCCGCUUGGGCUAAAGCGCGCCGCGCUUCCCCCUCCUCUGGCGGCGUGGGGAGGACGGGCGGUCGGAAGAGUGAGAGCGACGGCAACUCCGACGCGAUCGCGAUUCCAGUUGUCGUCCUCGAUGACUCGAACUCCGGCGAUGACGGUGACUCGGCGUCCGGCGAUGACCGCGACUCAGAUUUGGAAUUACAUCUGGUGCAGAUGGAAGCUCAGGCUGUGAGGAAGGAGUUCGAGUUCAAAAAAGAGGCUAAACAGAAGUACAAUUUAGCCAUUCAACAACGUGAUGAAGCACUGGCCCAGCGCGAUGAAGCCAGGAUGCAAUGCGGUGUACUUGAAUUUGAUGUGGAAUUCCUGCGUACUCGUCUUCGUAUGUCAGGUUAUAGAAUUCAGGAACUACAAGAGAAGCAAGGAAAAAAGUAGAUGCUGUUGGUCGAUGCACUUGUGCAUCCUUUUAGUUUGUAAAUAGGUUUACCUAUAUGUGGUAUGGUCAUUUUGCCUUGCAAUCGUGUUGGAUGUGGUAUUGUCCCUUUGCCUUGUAAAUGGCAACCUGUGCAUGCUAGUCAUAUAAUGAAAUGAACUAGCGUAUUCUGAAAAAACCUUGAAAUCUAUCUAUGUGGUAUUGUCCCUUUGCCUUGUAAAUGUGCAGUACUGAAGCCACAUCUUUCCAUGUUGGAGAAUAACAAUUACAUGCAGAUGAUCUUUUACCAUGCCUAUUUUUUUAUUCAUCAACUGAUUAUGUAUGAUUAAAAAUUACAGGUGAUUACCUCAAGCAGCACGGAAGAUAAGGUGAGGCUAACCUCGCACGAUUUCAGGUCCAAGCAGAAGAAGAAGGUAUCGACAACCCUUGGCAAAUCCUCCUCGGCGACCUCUAAGAAGAAGAAAAAGGAGGAGGUGACCUCUCAAGGAGAAAUUAGGAAAAUCUGGAAGUUGCAGAGCAAGAUAGAUGCAAAAGAAGUGAAGAUCAGUGGAUUUGUUGAUACCCUGGAAAAAGAAAAAGCAGCAAAGUUGUCACUUGAACGUCAACUUGCAGCAGCACAGAAGAAGGCAUCCGAGAAGUGGCGGAUUCCAGUCUACUGACCUGUCACCAAAAUGGUAGCACCACGAAGGAGCACCAACUGAUCCAUCACAGAAGAAGGCGUUGGUUUUGGUUUUGGUUUGCAUGAGAAGGGAUCUUCUGUGCGAUCAUGUCCCUGCUAGUCAAGUACUAUGUGUCCUGUAGGUGCUCAUCUCAAGUAGAAUUGUGUCCCUGCUAGUCAACUAGUAUUAUGUGAGCUGGUGUUGUAUGUGCUCAUCUCUAGGAGUAUUAUGUGUCAAGUACUAUGUGUUACUUAUGCUCUGUGAUAUAAAUGUACUAUGAUAUUAUGUUCUGUGAUAUAAAUGUGUUACUUA